AAGCCAGACUCCUACGGGAGGCAGCAGUGGGGGAUAUUGCACAAUGGGGGAAACCCUGAUGCAGCGACGCCGCGUGGGUGAAGAAGCGCCUCGGCGCGUAAAGCCCUGUCAGCAGGGAAGAAAAUGACGGUACCUGAAGAAGAAGCCCCGGCUAACUACGUGCCAGCAGCCGCGGUAAUACGUAGGGGGCAAGCGUUAUCCGGAUUUACUGGGUGUAAAGGGGGCGCAGACGGCGAUGCAAGCCAGGAGUGAAAGCCCGGGGCCCAACCCCGGGACUGCUCUUGGAACUGCGUGGCUGGAGUGCAGGAGGGGCAGGCGGAAUUCCUGGUGUAGCGGUGAAAUGCGUAGAUAUCAGGAGGAACACCGGUGGCGAAGGCGGCCUGCUGGACUGCAACUGACGUUGAGGCCCGAAAGCGUGGGGAGCAACCAGGAUUAGAUACCCGAGUAC
rnacentral:rRNA from 1 species